rnacentral:tRNA from 1 species
GGUGGCUCAGUGGUAGAGUGCUUGCCUUGCAUGCAUGAGGUCCUUGAGUUCGAUUCCUCAGCACCA